rnacentral:rRNA from 1 species
CCCUUAGAUGUUCUGGGCCGCACGCGCGCUACAAUGAUGAAUUCAACGAGCUUAUAACCUUGGUUGAAAAGCCUGGGUAAUCUUUUGAACUUUCGUCGUGAUGGGGCUAGACCCUUGCAAUUUUUGGUCUCCAACGAGGAAUUCCUAGUAAACGCAAGUCAUCAACUUGCAUUGAUUACGUCCCUGCCCUUUGUACACACCGCCCGUCGCACCUACCGAUUGAAUGCUCAGGUGAGCCAUUCGGACUUUCAUCAUGCUGGUUUCCAGUUUUGAUGAAGGAAAGUCUUGCGAACCUUAUCAUUUAGAGGAAGGAGAAGUCGUAACA